CCUUGGCCGAAAGAAUCACUUUGACUAACAUUGUUCUACGAGCAAUACCACUUUAUUAGAUGGCAAUUCUAAAAAUUUUCAAUCAAACUAUCUAGAAGAUCAACAAACUAUGUCGAGACUCUAUUUGGGGAGACUACCAUAGCAGCUAAGAUUCGAUUAGCAGGAUCAAAUAUUGAGCAAGCUGGCCAAGCAUAUGCCAUCUGAAAA
rnacentral:lncRNA from 1 species